rnacentral:rRNA from 1 species
GACGAACGCUGGCGGCGUGCCUAAUACAUGCAGGUAGAACGCUGAAGAGAGGAGCUUGCUCUUCUUGGAUGAGUUGCGAACGGGUGAGUAACGCGUAGGUAACCUGCCUUGUAGCGGGGGAUAACUAUUGGAAACGAUAGCUAAUACCGCAUAACAAUGGAUGACACAUGUCAUUUAUUUGAAAGGGGCAAUUGCUCCACUACAAGAUGGACCUGCGUUGUAUUAGCUAGUAGGUGAGGUAAUGGCUCACCUAGGCGACGAUACAUAGCCGACCUGAGAGGGUGAUCGGCCACACUGGGACUGAGACACGGCCCAGACUCCUACGGGAGGCAGCAGUAGGGAAUCUUCGGCAAUGGGGGCAACCCUGACCGAGCAACGCCGCGUGAGUGAAGAAGGUUGUCGGAUCGUAAAGCUCUGUUGUAAGUCAAGAACGGGUGUGAGAGUGGAAAGUUCACACUGUGACGGUAGCUUACCAGAAAGAGACGGCUAACUACGUG